GACGAACGCUGGCGGCGUGCUUAACACAUGCAAGUCGAACGGAAAGGCCCUGAUUUUGUGGGGUGCUCGAGUGGCGAACGGGUGAGUAACACGUGAGUAACCUGCCCUUGACUUUGGGGUAACUUCAGGAAACUGGGGCUACUCCCGGAUAGGAGCUCCUGCUGCAUGGUGGGGAUUGGAAAGUUUCGGCGGUUGGGGAUGGACUCGCGGCUUAUGAGCUUGUUGGUGGGGUGGUGGCUUACCAAGGCUUUGACUGGUCGCCGGCCUGUGAGGGUGACCGGGCACAAUGGUACUGAGGGACGGCGCAGAGGGCUACGGGGGGCAGUAGUGGGGAAUAUUGUACAAGGGGAGGAAGCCGGAUGCAGCAACGCUGGGGUCGGGAAGCCGGCCUGCGGGGAGAAAACCGCUUCCGCCUGAUACGAAGCGUGAGUGACGGUAACGGAUAAAGAAGCACCGGCUAACUACGUG
rnacentral:rRNA from 1 species